GCCAAUGAUGAAACUAUUUGAGAUUUUUUGAAAUGCAGUUCUAUCUGUGCUGUAUGAAUUUGUAGAAACUCAUGAACUAGGACGGUCUGAGGC
rfam:Gossypium hirsutum cultivar TM-1 unplaced genomic scaffold scaffold3035.1, whole genome shotgun sequence